rnacentral:rRNA from 1 species
UACGUAGGUGGCAAGCGUUGUCCGGAAUUAUUGGGCGUAAAGCGCGCGCAGGUGGUUCUUUAAGUCUGAUGUGAAAGCCCACGGCUCAACCGUGGAGGGUCAUUGGAAACUGGGGAACUUGAGUGCAGAAGAGGAAAGUGGAAUUCCACGUGUAGCGGUGAAAUGCGUAGAGAUGUGGAGGAACACCAGUGGCGAAGGCGACUUUCUGGUCUGCAACUGACACUGAGGCGCGAAAGCGUGGGGAGCGAACAGG